rnacentral:rRNA from 1 species
GUCAAACGGAGCUGAGAGGACCUUGCUUUUCUUAGCUUAGUGGCGAACGGGUGAGUGACGCGUGAUUUACCUGCCCUGGACGUGGGGGACAACUUUUGGACACUACUGUUAGUACCGUGUAACCCCUGGGUACCGCAUGGUACUGAGGGAAAGAGAUUUAUUCGCUCUCCGAUGGACCCGCGUCCUAUUAGCUAGUUGGCGAGGCAACGGCCCCCCAAGGCGACUAUUGGCAGCCGGACUGAGAGGUUGACCGGCCACGUUGGGACUGACACUCGCCCCACACUCCUAGAGGAGGCAGCAGUGGGGGAUAUUGCACAAUGGGGGAAACCAUGAUGCAGCGACGCCGCGAGGAGGAAGAAGGUUUUCGGAUUGUAAACUCCUGUUGUUAGGGACGAUAAUGACGGUACCUAACAAGAAAGCAACCGCGCUAACUACGUGCCAGCAGCCGCGGUAAAAAGUAGGGUGCAAGCGUUGUCCGUGAAUUAAUGGGUGUAAAGGGAGAGCAGGCGGACCGCCAAGUUGGAAGUGAAAUCCAUGGGCUCAACCCGUGAAUUGCUUUCAAAAAUGCUGUCCUUGAGUAGUGCAGAGGUAGGUGGAAUUCCUGCUGUAGCGGUGGAAUGAGUAGAUAUUGGGAGGAACACCAGUGGCGAAGGAGACGUACAUGGCACCAAUUGACGAUGAUGCCUGAAAGCAUGGGUAGCA